rfam:Schistosoma mattheei strain Denwood, Zambia genome assembly, scaffold: SMTD_scaffold0004172
GCACUGCUGAGGAGUCCCAAAAUAGGACGGGAUGGCCGUCCAGUGC